AGCAGCCGCGGUAAUUCCAGCUCCAAUAGCGUAUAUUAAAGUUGUUGCAGUUAAAAAGCUCGUAGUUGAAUUUCGGGAUCAAUAUGUCGGUCGUGCCUUCGGUACGUACUGGUAUCAUUGGUCUCUCCUUUCUGACGAACCAUGAUGUCAUUAAUUUGGUGUUAUGGGGAGUUAGGACUGUUACUUUGAAAAAAUUAGAGUGUUUAAAGCAGGCUUUAGCUUGAAUACAUUAGCAUGGAAUAAUGAAAUAGGACGUUCGAACCUAUUUUGUUGGUUUCUAGGAUCAACGUAAUGAUUAAUAGGGAUAGUUGGGGGCAUUAGUAUUCAAUUGUCAGAGGUGAAAUUCUUGGAUUUAUUGAAGACUAACUACUGCGAAAGCAUUUGCCAAGGAUGUUUUCAUUAAUCAAGAACGAAAGUUAGGGGAUCGAAGACGAUCAGAUACCGUCGUAGUCUUAACCAUAA
rnacentral:rRNA from 1 species